rnacentral:rRNA from 1 species
AAACUGAAGAGUUUGAUCAUGGCUCAGAUUGAACGCUGGCGGCAGGCCUAACACAUGCAAGUCGAGCGGUAACAGGGGUAGCUUGCUACCCGCUGACGAGCGGCGGACGGGUGAGUAAUGCAUAGGAAUCUGCCCGGUAGUGGGGGAUAACCUGGGGAAACCCAGGCUAAUACCGCAUACGUCCUACGGGAGAAAGGGGGCUUUGGCUCCCGCUAUUGGAUGAGCCUAUGUCGGAUUAGCUAGUUGGUGAGGUAACGGCUCACCAAGGCGACGAUCCGUAGCUGGUCUGAGAGGAUGAUCAGCCACAUCGGGACUGAGACACGGCCCGAACUCCUACGGGAGGCAGCAGUGGGGAAUAUUGGACAAUGGGGGCAACCCUGAUCCAGCCAUGCCGCGUGUGUGAAGAAGGCCCUCGGGUUGUAAAGCACUUUCAGCGAGGAAGAACGCCUGGUGGUUAAUACCCAUCAGGAAAGACAUCACUCGCAGAAGAAGCACCGGCUAACUCCGUGCCAGCAGCCGCGGUAAUACGGAGGGUGCAAGCGUUAAUCGGAAUUACUGGGCGUAAAGCGCGCGUAGGUGGCUUGAUAAGCCG